CUCGAUGUGGUCUGACCGACCUGGAGGGGAUUUCUGCUCUUUCCUCCUUAAAGUCACUUAAGAGGGGAAAUCCCUCCAUUUUCCAGGCUCUGACUAUCACAAGGCUAUUGAAGCCACAGUUCUGCUUUUGAACUUGAAGACUACAUCCAUUCAAAACAAUGCCACGCACACCAUCUCAUGUGUGGAUACAUUUCCGCUCAGCCAAUCUGGAAGGAAAGGCUGUGUACAGUUGCAAAUACUGUGCAAAGACCUAUGUUAAGAAUGCCACAAAGAUGCAGCAGCAUAUAGCCAAGUGCCCAAAGUUUUCCCAGAACUCAAAACAAGCAACCCCAGACAAGAGUUCAUCUGCUUCCCUCCGAUGUGAAAAUGAUUCAGAUUCAGACACCCUCUCGUCAGCUCCCGGUCACUCUGGAAUCGGAGGAUUGUUUGACUCGAUGGAUGAACGGAGCCAGAGAAAUGCUGAUGAAUGUUUCGCUCGAGCAAUGUAUGCAACUGGCUCACCUCUGAUGCUCACAUCCAAUGUCUACUGGAAGAGAUUCCUAAAUGUCCUUCGUCCUUCAUACAUACCUUCCACCAGUCAUGCUUUAUCUACUCAUUUGCUGGAUGGAGAGUUCAACAGAGUGCAAGCAAAGGUCAAGCAAACCCUUGACAAAGCAGAGUGCAUUUCAGUCAUCUCUGAUGGGUGGUCGAAUGUCCGGGGACAAGGAAUCAUCAACUACAUUGUCACCACCCCUCAACCAGUAUUCUAUAAGAGCACAGACACAAAGCACAACAGACACACAGGAUCCUACAUUGCUGAUGAGCUGAAAGCAGUCAUCAGUGAUCUUGGACCUGAGAAGGUUUGUGCACUUGUAACUGACAAUGCUGCAAACAUGAAGGUUGCUUGGGCACACGUGAAGGAGACCUACCCUCACAUAACAACAAUUGGCUGUGCUGCCCAUGCUCUUAAUCGUCUCCUUAAGGACAUCAUGGCACUGAAUACAAUGAACACACUGUAUAAGACAGCGAAGCAAGUCGUGAAAUAUGUGAAGGGCAAACAGGUAGCUUCAGCAAUCUACCUCUCUAAGCAAAAAGAAAAAAACAAGAACGCCACACUGAAGCUCCCCAGCAUCACUCGAUGGAGUGGGGUUGUCCUCAUGUACCACAGUCUGCUAGAGGGGAAGGAGUCUUUGCAAGAGAUGGCCAUAUCCCAAACUGCAGCCAUUGAAAGUGCCAUCAAGAGAAUCCUGUUAGAUGAUAUGUUCUGGGAAAAAGUGACUGGCAGCCUGAGAAUCCUCAAACCAAUAGCAGCAGCUAUUGCCAAGAUAGAAGGGGAUACUGCCAUCUUGUCAGAUGUUAAAUAUCUGUUUGCUGAGCUCAAAGAAGAAAUGCAAACUGUCCUGCCCGCCUCCCUGCUGCUUCAAGCGGAGGAAACUGCAGUGGUCAAGUCCCUGGAGAAGCACCAAGAGUUCUGCACCAAACCAAUACAUGCAGCAGCAUACAUGCUGGACCCAAAGUAUGAGAAAAGCAUACUCUCUGCUGAAGAGAUCCGCAGUGCUUACACUGUUAUUACUGCCUUGUCUCACCGUCUUGGGCUUGAUGAAGGCAAAGUUCUCGGCAGUCUAGCAAAGUACCGUACCAAGCAAGGUCUUUGGGAAUGGGAUGGGAUAUGGCAGUCGUGCCAGCACAUAUCUGCAUCUACCUGGUGGAAAGGACUUUGUGGAUCUGAGGCCCUUGCACCUGUAGCAUCUAUCAUCCUUCAAAUCCCACCAACAUCAGCCGCCUCUGAGUGCAGCUGGUCACUGUUGGGGAACACGCACACAAAGGUUCGCAACAGGCUCACGAAUGCAAGGGAGGAGAAACUGGUGGCCAUCCGAGCAAACCUACGGCUCUUUGAGCCUGACACAGAGCCAUCCUGGACAAGGCUGGACAGUGACACCGAAGAUGAAGAGGAGUCAGACAUGGAGGAUGUUAAUGAGGUCCAGGAAGAAGCCAAUGAGACCUGAAUAUAUUAAGAGGGAAAAUGCAGAAACCAGAGACUUAAGCAGCUUGGGAGAAAAUGCUUUAAAGCGGUCAUAUGAUGCGAUUUCAAAUUUCCUUUCUCUUUGGAGUGUUACAAGCUCUUGGUGAAUAAAUAAGAUCUGUGAAGUUGCAAAGACUAAAGUCUCAAAUCCAAAGAGAUAUUCUUUAUCAAAGUUAACACUCGUCCACGCCCCCUUAAAAGGGCUCGUUCUAACACGCCCCCACAUAUCUACGUCAGUAUUUGGGAAGAUUUGCAUAACACUGCCCAGAUGUUCAUGCAAAGAAAGAAGGCGUACCUUUUAUUCUCGUUGUAGUAUUGUUGUUGCCGCCGCCGCCAUGACGUAUAGACACUGUGUGUUUCACUGUGAAAGCAAAACUACUUUGUUUGGCCUUCCAAAAGAGGACGAUAUCCGCUUCAUCAUGCCUGGAGCUGAUCCGUGCUGGUUGCUGAGGAAAUACAUCAACUUUGCACUGUGGAUCGCCAAAUCGGCUUUCACCAUGGAUGAAGCGGAGUCCACAUGUGGUUGCUGCAAGCCCAAGGUACGCUCCUUCGUAGAAUCUGCCUCAAGCUGCCGGCCUCUGCUCACUCAAGCCAUCCGCGGUUCACUCUAGACCUCCGGCCUCUGCUCACUCAAGCCAUCUGCGGUUCACUCUAGACCUCCGGCCUCUGCUCACUCAAGCCAUCCGCGGUUCACUCUAUACCUCCGGCCUCUGCUCACUCAAGGCCGCGGUGUGUGACGCUGUUUCAUUUAGAAAGCAAAACUACUUUGUUUGGCCUUCCAAAAGAAGACACGACUAGAAAUCAUGUUUAUAUCACGUUUAUAAUGGGUUUUAUGUGUAUGUCUCGUCGCUCCAGCCGGACAAGGCAUCACAAUAUGUUAAGAGGCAUAACAUUUCUGUCACAAGCUUGAGGCAUCUGGCCAAUCACAAUGCGCUGGAUAGCUGGCCAAUCACAGCACACCUCGCUAUUCAGAGCUAUGAGCUUUGUAAAAAAUAGAGGAGAAACAAUAAUGUACAGUAUGUGGAAAAUAAUGUGUUCAUUGAACCUUAAACCGCAUAAACUCAUUUCAUUAUACCAUAUACACAAAAUAAUGUUCUUUUUAGCAGCAUCAUAGGACCCCUUUAAUUUCAAUUUUGAAUGGGACUUUUUUGGAAGGGGAAGGGUGGGGAAUGCUUUCGUUUUAAAGCAAACAAGAGGAAAUGCGUGUUUUUUUUCAUUCAACAUUUAUGCUUUUGUGUUGCUCAAUAAAAUAAUUAAAGUUCUAAUUACAAUUAAAUCAAAGUC
ensembl:lncRNA